rnacentral:rRNA from 1 species
AGCAGCCGCGGUAAUUCCAGCUCCAAUAGCGUAUAUUAAAGUUGUUGCAGUUAAAAAGCUCGUAGUUGAAUUUCGGGAUUUAUCCGUCGGUCGGGCUUUUGGGUCUGUACUGGCGUGAUGGAUUCCUACCUUCUGAAUAACCGGCAUGUCAUUAAUUUGGUGCGCCGGGGAAGCAGGACUGUUACCUUGAAAAAAUUGAGUGCUUAAAGCAGGCUUAUGCCUGAAUACAUUAGCAUGGAAUAAUGAAAUAGGACGGCAUGGUUCUAUUUUGUGGUUUCUAGGAUCACCGUAAUGAUUAAUAGGGAUAGUUGGGGGCAUUAGUAUUCAAUUGUCAGAGGUGAAAUUCUUGGAUUUAUUGAAGACUAACUUCUGCGAAAGCAUUUGCCAAGGAUGUUUUCAUUAAUCAAGAACGAAAGUUAGGGAUCGAAGACGAUCAGAUACCGUCGUAGUACUUAACCAUAAACUAUGCCGACUAGGGAUCGGACGAUGUUAAUUUUUANGUACUCGUUCGCGCUUACGG